rnacentral:lncRNA from 1 species
AUUUUUGCUUCUCUCUCUCCCAAAGUAUUGAAUGCAUCUCACAAGACACGCUCCAUAAUCCUCUUCCAUUAGUGCUUGGUUCUUCUACGAAAAGGUACUCACCUGUAGUUGUACUUCAAGCAUCAAGUUGCGUAGUCUAUUGGAAAUGUGAUUUAGUUUUCCAUUAUGCAUAUCCGAGAAAACACACAAAGGAAUUUACCCUAAAUUAAAUCAGUUUCCUCCAUGCUAGCAAGAUAAAUAUUUUCUAAAGUAUUUGUUUAUUUUCUCAAGCGUGGGAAAUGCUAAACAGAAGUGUUUUGAUUGAAGGGAAUUUGUUGUUAAUGGCGGAUAAAGUGCAAAGGGCUCGUGCUGAGACGCGAACGGUGAAUCAGCGGUUAAGGAUUGAAGCACAAGUUAAAGGAACUUUUUUAGGAAAAUAAAUGGAUUUCAACCUCCAACUGGUAAAAAUAUAUAUGAGGUAGAUAUGAUUUAUAAUUUUGAAAAUCUCUUCUCAAAAUUCUCUCCCAACUCUCAGCAACUCACUCUAUAUAAAACAAUUAAACAAUUUUCGAAACUGAGACUCUCAACAAAAUGAAAUCAAAAUCUCAAAUAGAUUUGUUUCGACCCAGUCGACCACGCCCACUUCAUCAACAUGCCUCCUAUGCUCCCACAAUCAGAGCUGAAAAGCAAUCAACAAAUAUCAAAAACUUCGCUCGUUCGUGUCAUAAACAAAAAGAGCAAAAGCGGGCCGAAACCAAUUCAAGUCCAAAGGCCAGUUAGCAGUUCGACCUUCCGACCCUGGUCGGGCCGCCAUCGCUGACGAGUGUCGACGCACCAAGCCAUGAAUAUUUUAGUAAAUGCCGCGCAAGGCUUUGACUUUACCACUUGGUCACCCUCGGCUCCUCACUAUUUACCCAAAAAAUAGAUGGGCUUGAAGUACUGUAAAGAAAAGGGUAGGGGCUGGGCUAAAGGGUUCUGCUUCGGGGGAACCCAACAAUUUACGCCAUUUUUGGAAAAAGUUUUGCUCUGCUUGUGCGAAUGUUUUCAGUUUUCAGCUGAGUUCUGUUUUUGCAUACCGUAGCGGUGGGUAUGAUGCGGAAGACGCGAUCUUUGAAACUCACAAGUGAAAGUCGACUUGGUCUUAAGAGCUACUGAAAUACAUUUAUUAUUGUGUCGUAUGAAUUAUUCCCAUUGGGAC